GUGCAGGCACCUUCCCGAAAAACCCUGCAAGUCUAAGACCCUUCAAAAUUCGAAAAACGAAAAAAUAAGAACAAGGCCUUCCCUUCGUAAAUCUUGUGUUUCAUAUCCACCAAAAAAUCAAGAACCAGAUCAUGUCCGCCGCCAGAUCAGUUUUCCGCUCCGCUGCCACCCGAGCCGCCGCUGCAGCGGCAAGACCCACAUGCGGAGCUAAACCCAUGCCCAAACCCACCUGCUCUCCGUUUCGGGUCUUCAAACAAAAACCACUCUCUCAUCGCCUUUUCAGAUCACCUGUGGAGAUGAGCUGCUGUGUUGAAACGAUGCUGCCGCAUCACACUGCUACCGCCUCUGCAUUGCUUACGUCGAUGCUUUCCGUAUCUAGGAGAACCUACGGUUGGACCCAUGAAGGGCAAGACAAGACUAGAUGAAGAUCAAGCAACAAAGAUGGAGUGGAGUGAGUUGGAUUGCAAUGAUGAUGUAUGAUGAAUUCGAAGAGUUCGGGCAAAGGUUUGUGCAUUGGCUCUAAGACAAGAUGGAUGAUUGUUUCAUUGGGAUCAGUACGUUGGUUAUGUAUUCCAGUUCAUUCAAUGGACUUUGUAAGACUUUGCUUGAGGCAUUUUUCUUCUAGAGGAAAGGUAACUCAAAGAUUGUUUUGCAGAAAACUAGGAGUAGAUCCUUAAUGAACUUAGAUUGCUGUUAAUUUAUUAUGUUUCCUUUUUUGGUAAAUAAAAAAGAUAAAAUUGGGUUUUUAGCUUGCUAUGCUACCCAAAUUAAAAGAACUUCACCAUCACAAAAUGUUUCAUUCGUUCAGAAACAUUCUGUGUUGCUGGUUAUUGAACAAAUCCUGGUACUUGUUCGUGUAUAUGUUUCUUGAUUCGAGUUAGGGACUAUCUUUAUAUGUAUUGGCUUAUGAUCUUCAUGUGAUAAUCACUAAAACUGAUUAUCCAUGGAGUGCCAUCAACCAGAACAUGAAUUCCAUGGAGUUUUAACUUCAUUAGUUUGAGCUGCAAUCUAGUUGGAAGAAUCUUGUACUGCC